GUCUCCUUUAAGUUAAGGUCUCGCGACCAUUUCUGCCUCUCAGCGACGGGCCGACGGCGAAGAUCUGCCCAGUGGAGGACCGCAGACAGCGUGCACCUCUCCACCCUUUCCCCAAGCCCCCGAAUAAAGUGCUUUGACUCUACGGCUGGCGUCCGUGUGUCACUGUCGCCGACGCGCUGCCUUUGAGCCCCCGGCGGCCUUCCUCGUGGCGCCGGGGGUUAAGCUGCGGCGCCAUAGCAAUCGCUAGCGCAUAACUGGGGCCGCCUGCCCAUCGCGGGCGGCCCUUUUAACUGCUAGAUACAGGCCGAAACCAGCCUGCCACAAGGCUCUCGGGUCGAGGGAAGGCAGUUUGCAGGCGGCAUAUGCAGACCUAACGUGGCUUUAGGGUAACCGUGGCCCAAGGGCGGACCUGUUGGGUGAUAGCUGAGACAUGUCUGGCUGUCAGGAUCGGACCUGAGGUGUAUAGUCGUUAUCUGUGGUACUUGGGUGUUGAGGCGGCUGAAAUCUGGCGCGGGAGGAGGCAAAGUAGUAGUUAGGCAGGCCUCUUGGGGAGUCAAGGUCAGUAGGGGGUCAGCGUUUGACUAGCGAAUACGACAGGGGCUGGUAAAGCACAUCAAGAAAACUGGCGUUUGAAUAACGGAGAACACCCAGUGAAGCUACAUUGAAUUUCUAAGCCAGGGUCUUACUGUAUAUUAACAGCCUUGGCUGUCCUCGCCUGCCUUCGUCACCACCGCUCUGAAUUUUUAGGCAAGCUAGAUCGUCGGGUUAGUUUAAUAGUAAACAAUUAGAAUUAGGGAGAUGAUUUGGACAAUGCCGAUGACGAAUACAGGGUGGGGCGUUUGUCAGCCGAGGAACCCUUACACUUGGAAAGUGUGCACAGAGAAUUAACUGAAUAAUUGUGAGCCCCAGUUAGGGACUGCCACAGCCCGUGACUCCAAGGUCAGCAUGGUUCGAAUAGGAACAGUAAGGUCUGCAUUGCAUCUUAAUGAGGCAGCUGAACCUCAUUUCAGAUGCUGAAACCAGUCCCAAGGCUUGUUUGCCUAGAAAACAAUAAUUCCUCAUUUUAUCCCUACUCUUCCCAUAAGGGUAAGCUGAUAACUCAAUUGCAUUCCCACCUCAACAUACAGCAAGGGUGGAUAAAACCAGCCUGAGAGUCCAAGUAUUCCACUUUUAUGGGCUUUUUUGUAAAUAAAGAUGCUUAUCUGGUGUUUGA